CGAAACUUCUUCCACUUGGUCCAGCCCCGGGGCCCGGAGACGCGAGAGCUCUCAGUUGUCGGACUUGGGCUGCCCGCUGCUGAGGAUUGGCGAGUUUCUCUUCGUGUACAAGAAACGUGAUUAGCGUUUCAUAAUUUACUUAGCCACUCCGUGCCUCAGUGUCCCCAUAUGCAAAAAGGGAUCCUUCAUGCCUCCACCUGGACUCCAGAAUCAGCAGCCAAAAUUGACUGCGGCACUAAUUCCAGAAUACCUUGACCAUCAGAGAAGCCCAUCAGUUACCUGGGCUCAUCACUCAAGUCUACAUCCCUUCUUGAGCUGCAGAGGCUUGGUGUUGGGGGUGAAGGCAGACAACUCUAGAAGAUGAAUUUACUUCCGUGAACUUCCCACUCUUCGCAGAGUGUGUCAGCGCUGUCACUGCUUUGAUGUGCAGUGAUGAGUUUACUGUUCUCACUUUCCACUGUGACUGUUGCAAACUCAACUGUCUGCUCAGUCUUCCAGCCCUCUCUCCUGCCCCUGCUUCACUCUGCUGUCACUUUUCCCCCUCAACAUAAGAGUUUCUGCCUCCAGUCUUCUGGAGCUUCAUUCAGGAAAGGCUCUUUCAAUUACUUUAUGUUGAAUCUUUAAUCUCUGUAGUUCUGCCUCCCUUCUUGUGAUUAAAAAAAAAAAAUGCACAGGUCUCUCCCUCUA